AACGCGGAGGGGAUUUGCCCUGGCACAGAUGGUGCUGCACCAGGGUGAAUGGGCAGUGGCAGCUGAAACCCUAGCAUAGACAAAAGCCCGGCUUGGUUCUCCGGAGAACCCGGAUAGUCCUGCAGCCAGAAUGUCGUGGCCAGCUGCAGACUCCUGUUCUGGCGUAGUGGGCAGUACUGUGGUUCUGAGAAGGCUGUGUUUUGAGCCAGUAAAGCAACCUGCUCUGUUCCACAUGGGGGGUGAGGAGCUCUCAGUUUUCCAGCAAAAAUAGCCCCACUGGGCUGGGUCGGUCUCAUCUCAUGUCACAGCAGCCAAGCACGCGUUUGUCUUCCCCCAGUGCAGCCGAGCAAGAAGCCCAGCUUUGUUUGUCCUUUCUGGCAGGAGGUCGCUCUGAAUUCCUGAGCUGGCACCAAGUGACUGUAGUGCUGCCAACCCCGCCCUGCCCUGGGGGGGGAUACACCCACGCUGGACAUGCAGUCUAGGCAGCGGAGUCAGGGCAAUUGGAUUCCAUGCUGCAGGGCGUGAGAUGAUUGUCCAGCCCAUUUUCUGCAGCAGCAGUUACUGCCAGCCCUACAAUGCCACGUUUAUAGACACAACAGCAGUUGAAAACUUGCUUUUAAAGGGGAAUGACUCAUUCACAGGCAUCCCGAUCUGGGCAAACAAGCAGGCUCCUCCGUCCGCUGCCAGCGCCGGCUUCUGUCAGGCCUUUCUUCUGAUGCUGCUGCUUCUCUGUCUCAUGCAAAACAAAUGCUCCGGCCUUGUGUAAAUGUAAAUAAUACUCCUGCAUUUAUCUGCCUCUUUCCCUGUCAGCCAAAAUAUAAAACCCCCUUUGUUCCAGCAAG